rnacentral:rRNA from 1 species
GACGUAGGGCGCGAGCGUUGUCCGGAUUUAUUGGGCGUAAAGAGCUCGUAGGCGGCUUGUCGCGUCGUUCGUGAAAACCCGGGGCUCAACUCCGGGCUUGCGGGCGAUACGGGCAGGCUAGAGUUCGGUAGGGGGAGACUGGAAUUCCUGGUGUAGCGGUGAAAUGCGCAGAUAUCAGGAGGAACACCGGUGGCGAAGGCGGGUCUCUGGGCCGAUACUGACGUGAGGAGCGAAAGCGUGGGGAGCGAACAGG